CCUUGGAUAGCUCAGUCGGCAGAGUGUGAAGCUCUUAAUCUCAGGGUUGUGGGUUUGAGCCCCAAAUGUGGGGA